AUAAAGAGUCAAGUAAGAUUAAGAUUAAUAAUUACUCCUAUUCUUUUCGAUCUCUGAGCGUUGAAUCAAACUCAGCUGAUAUAUAAUCCAUAGUCUAUUACUUACUGAUAACAGGACAGGCUGAGGAGUCUCUCAUAUUAUCAAUUGCUGGUAAGAUUGAUCAAAUAAAAUAGGCCUUGGAAAAGAGGGACCAGGAUGAUGAUGUUUUAGCCAAGUUGGUGGUACAGUCUGCCAAACUUCUGCCAAGGCUUCGGGCUCAGGCUCCCCAUGCAGGACGAUUCGAAAGUAACGAAUUAACUACUUGUUUGCUUGCUCUUUAAAGCAACAAGUCAUAUGGGCACCACUUUAAUAUGAUCUUUGGAAUUUUCCCUUUAUUUUGCGGAUAUUGCUACAGCUAUGGCUACUGGGAAGCUCUAGAUAUUAUGAUUUUAUUCUGCUACAGUGUCGUUUCUGAUAACUUAUAUGUGGCAUCGAGGAGUUGUGCGUAACUAGUGUCAACUUACAUCUUUA